AUGGGGAUUUAUCUCAAGACGAGUCCACCUUCUGCUUGGAACAAACCCGUCCUUUUAAAGGUGUGGUCGGCGAUCAUCCGAUGGUUAAGCAUAUCUACUGCGGUGCACAACUCACCUAUACCAAACUUUCAGCAACUCAGCGGGCUGUCUGGAUCGGACAGAAAUAAGACAGAAAAAUUCAAUGUUAUUUGGUACGCUAGCAUAUGGGUAAUUUGGAAAGGACGGAAUGAAUCAAUUUUUAGAGAAAAAAGGAUAGAUUGGCUGAGCAUUUAG